CUGCCAGAAACUCCUCUCUUGGCUAUGAAUCAAGGGAAAAAAAGAGAAUUUAGUCUCAGUAGAAUUUUUCAAAAUCUUUAGCUAACAAACACAGUGCGAAUGGAGAAACACCUCUGCUUUCUGAAGAGAGAACCUGGGAGAUUCUGUUCCUUCAGGGCAAAGAGAAAAGGGGGAGGAUAGUUCUCAGGAUAGCAUUGCUGUGUUGUAUUUUUGGCUCCUAAUAUUCUCUGUUGAAGCAUAGGUACUUGGCGACAAGAUUAAUAUAUGUUGUUCUAGCUCUGCCACUUCAGUGAAUCUAAAAAGAAAGAGCUUGAAUAUCUUUGAUCUGCCUGCAGAAGCAGCUAAAAGAAAGCCAAAAAGAUAUACAUGAUAUUAACAAAAGAAUCUACCGAAGUUGGCACAUAUCAUUGCCUUCAGUGCUGGAAGGCAAUUUGUUGUUAUAGUAAUAAUUUCCAGAAUGUAAUAAACAUCCAAGCUUCGGAAAAUUGAACAGGAGACAUUUACUGAGGGAAGUUGGGGUAAUUAGUUGUUAAAUGAAAACAAAACGAGAGUCAACAUUUUUUAUUAAAAUAAAAGCAUAGCCCAUCAUGGUAUGGAAACUAUAUUUGAUGUUAUUUCUUUUCUACUCGCAUUCCAAAUCCCUGCUCAAGAGGAUUAAUUCAGUUUAUACACGUUAAGCCCUAAUAUGGGUUUAUUUUGGCUUAUGAUACUAUAUAUUAUGAAAAUCCAGCCAGUAGCUAUCCACUUGCAAACCAGAGUGAUUCGUUAUGUUAUGGGAAAUGAGCCAAUGGUGGUUUCCUUAAACCGCAGAUUAAACCACUAUAUAUGAACUUGGUCAUAAAAAGCAAUUGUAGACUCUGCUCUUAUAACAUAAUGCUGGUCAUAACCUGUGCAUCUAAAUUCCCUCUGGUAAAUUUGCUAAGAUCCUUUUCUGCUGCGUCCAGUUUUGUAAUGUUCCCCAAGAAUAAUUUGUUACACUGCAAAUAAAUACAUUGAAUAAAUAAAUUUGGUGCCUUUUUGCAAACUUGAGGCUUUCCUUGAUCUAUAAUCUAACUUAGUAUUGUCUGCUGCAACAGCUGCUGCUCAUGCAGAACCUCUCUAAGUGCAUCUGUUCAGACUCUUUAAACUCAAGAGUGUCCAGGGUGGGGGAUUCCACAUACAAUAUGUAUGCUGUACUAUUGGGCUCUGACCAUUCUGCCUGUGAGAUCCAAGGUGCUGUUGCUCAUUAUUUUUCUGGCAGUUUCAUGAUGUUUCAGGGCAAGUGAUUUCAGAGCAGCCCCCCCCAGCCAAGCCCCCACUGGUAUUUUUAAGACCAGACAUAUGCACAUAAAUUUUAUAUUAUAAAGCUUCUCAGCAUUGGAACGAGGCAUGAAGUCUCUGCUGUAAAAGAUUGAUUAGAUGCAGAAACCAGGCAGCAUUGCUGCCAACCACUUUGUUGCUCUUUAAAUGGAACCAUUUUUACCCUGUCAUUCCUUUUUCAGCAGAUGUCAUCCUAAAUGUUUUCUCAUCAAUAUGUCUGGAUCUGAGUGCAAGCGAGCGUAUUCCAGUAGUUCUGCCUUCUCUCUCCUGUGAAAUGAUGUAGCUACCUACAUCUCCUUCCACUGGAUGUUAAAAGGGCCAGGCCACCCAUUAGCAGUGAGCCAUCCUGAGGAUGAUCAUCUUAGAGAUGUGGUGCUAUGGCAUCCAACAGACUCACUGAGAGGGUUUAUUUAUAAUAAAGACAAACUGCAUAAGAGCAACACAGAAAAAGUAGAACGAUUUUGAUGGUAGCCUGAAGAAUCCAUCUAUUAAUCAAUGGUUCUCAGGAUUAUGAUUCUCCACUAUGGAUGUUCCUAAAGAUUUGCAGGAAAGGGUCAAGGGUGAAACAGCUGGAAGCUAAUGGAUUAUAUAGUGCUUAUUUGAUAGGGGGCAGUAUUUAGUCCAGAUGUUCCUCUUCAUGUGUAGAUUCAUAACAACUCAAUAAACCAAUUCCUACGGUACAGCUCAGACAUAAUAUAUAAUAAGUGGCAUAAUACAAGCCCCCAUUCUCCUUCUCUAUCAACACAUUGACUCUUGUAAGAUCAUAGAAUAUGCUCUAAUGUCAAUUUAUAUCUUGGGAUUUAGACAUUCUUUACAAGGCAGAAACUAACGUGGCAGAGAACAAAGCCAAGUGAACGGAGAAUCUGCAGCUGUGGCAGGAGUUCAGUUGUCAACAUCAGUUGCCCAUUUUGUUAAAGCUUUGGGAUUGUCCUGUUACCUAUGUAAAACUCCAGGACAUUUUGUUUGUGUAUUAAGGUUUUUCUUAAAUGCUAUUUAUGUGAGCCAUUCAUUCUUUAGUAGGCUGUAUUGUGACUUCACAUACAUAACAUCUAGAGUUGCCCAGGAUUCAGAGAUUUGCAUGAUCGUACAUGUCAUAACCGGGUGCAUAGCUGCUUCAUAGAACCUCUGAUUGUGGAACGAAGCUCAGAAGGAAAACUCUGCAGUAACAUAAGAGCCAUUGGUCACUAACCUCAAGACUAAGAAACUCAAGACAGAAUGUCUAUUAAUUUGUGGAACAGGCCGGGUAAUGAAGUGCCAAAAUGAAACAACUCCAGAUUCAACAGGAUAUUUAGGUUGGUGUUAGGGAAUUCUUCCUUAAUAUAGUGAGAAGUCAUUUUUGCCUGUCCAGCAACAGAAAACAUCACAAGGAUCAGACACCAAAACUAUCUCAAGCCCACUUGAGAACCAAUGACCCAUAUGAACUAAAGCAAUUGGAAAACCAAUUUCAAUUUCUCGGAAUGGAUUUGGAAUUCCAGAAGGGGAAAAAUAUUUUAAAGUGGAAAUGGAGAGAGAGGAGAAGAGAAUUGGAGUAUGAGAAACAAUUUCGAAGUUUGGAACUGGAGAGAAUGAUGGAAUGAUGCUUAUCAGUUAGGAACUGAGAGGUAAACAGAGGAACAUCAAUCCAACAUUUCCCGCUGCUCCUAAGGAAAACUGGCAAGUUUCCAAGGUGAAAUUAAAGCAGCUGAAGAAAGGAAGCCUGCUGUACAAGAGUAAAAAUAGAUCCGGCAGUUACUCAGCUCCUGAGAACAUGAUGGUAUGACUCACGAGGUAAAAUAAAGAGAUGUGAAAAUCAAAAGCUGUUGCAUUCCCCCCAAGCAUUACACACAUAUCCCCCCUCAUUUUUCCUCCUACCUGGAGAAGUUUGUGGCACCUGAAGUCUAAAAAAACCCAAAGGAAAACAAAUUGUUGAAGUUCCAGGUAAAAGCAACUGGGUUGGAAACCCUAAAAUCAGGGGUGAAAUCCAGCAGGUUCUGACAGGUUCUGGAGAAUCAGUAGUGGAAAUUUUGAGCACUUCGGAGAACCGGUAGCGGAAAUUUUGAGUAGUUCGGAAAACCGGUAAAUACCACCUCUGGCUGGCCCCAGAGUGGGAUGGGAAUGGAGAUUUUGCAGUAUCCUUCCCCUGCCACACCCACUAAGCCACACCAUGCCCACCAAGCCACGCCCACAGAACCGGUAGUAAAAACAUUUGGAUUUCACCACUGCCUAAAAUCCAUCUACCAUAUAUUUCUAUACUCCGCUUUCCUGCAAAUUCCAUGGUGUCUUGGAGGAAAUCAUGGAUGAAAGGAUUCAUUUACUUUUGUUACAGGGUCCUUUGUAAUUAAACCAAUGGUUGUUAGGAUGGGCACUUACUGGGCCCACUUACCUGUCCCUGUAUAUUUUGUCUUGGAAAUGUAGAAGAUUAUAUGCCUUACUUCCAAUUCAUGGAGGUUUUAUGCCUUUGUUUGUCAAACUCGGCAACUUUAAGAUGGAUAGAUUCCCAGAAUUCUCCUGCCAGCAUGCCAAAUUUGAAAAACAGUUUUACAUUGUUUAAUUGUAUGUUUCAGAGGACUGAAGCAGUAGAAACAUCCUUUUAUAUUCACACAAAACUGCUGCACUCUGGAUCACAAUUAUAGUACCUUUUAAAAAUAAGUAACUAUGACUAAUAACUAACAUGAAAAUAAGUUUGCAAAUUUGCAGGACAUAUUUUACCAUCUCAAAGUCAUAUGUACCUGGAGAGCUUCAUAUUAUUAAUGUAGUUUUCCUUUUUUUUUUUUUAGUUUUAAAAACAAACUUUAAUAAGUUUAAAAAUUUGAAAACACAAAAAUAUACAAAUUUUUCUCAAUCAUAAAAUUACAUAUACAAUACACAACCCCACAAACAAACUAAAUAUAUGUAAUUGUAUGUACGACAUAUAUAAAUAGUUUUCCUAAUGUGGUGCCCUCUAUGUGAAUUGAAUACAGUUCUAUAACAGGCAACCUGGUGCAUGGGUCUCCUCCUCUUCCCCCUCCCCGGAUUGUUUUCUUUUGGUAUGGGCACUGAUUAAAGGUCUGAACCUUUUGAUUAUUCUAUAAACUAAGCCAUAACUUAUCUAAUGAUAAUGUAUUGAAUUAAACUUGGUAGAAGACACUAAGUCAUAAUUCCUAUUUUACAAACUGCAUCGCCAUCAUAUAUCAAAAUACUAUAUUUCAGAUGCCUCUGUGAACCUAACUAUUAUUAUAUGCUGGUUACAUUUUUGUCCUUUUCUGAUGUUUUCUCUCUCCAUGCACCUUCUUCCAGAGGUCUUGCACUACAAAACUUCCCAGCCCAUAUAAGUUUGCAACCCAUGCAAAUAAGGAUUACAGUACACAGUUGUCACGUUUUUACUUUUUGCAUUUUCUUUUCUUUCUUGACUUCAGAAAUCCACCUUAUUUUUUGAAACACUUUUAGAAACUUGAAGAUUUGCAACCCCUUUCAUAAACGUAUCUCAACUUCCCUUAAUAGAGCCUGUAGUACAGUGGACUAAAGCACUGUAAUUAACAUCUGCUGCUUGCAAUUACUGCAAGUUCAAAUCUCACCAGGCUCAAGGUUGACUCAGCCUUCCAUCCUUUCAAAGGUAGGUAAAAUGAGGACCCAGAUUGUGGGGGCAAUAAGCUGACUUUGUAUCAAUAUUCAAAAGUAUGAAGGCUAUUGCUUAACGCAUUGUAAGCCGCCCUGAGUCUCCGGAGAAGGGCGGCAUAUAAAUUAAAGCAAAAAAAAAAAAAGGCAUUUGCAUUAAUUAGGAAUUUGGAUUUAUUUUCCCCCUGUAUGACUAAUAGAGAUAAUUCUGCUAAUAGACUAAUAGAGAAAUCCUGUCUCCCAUACAUUCAGCCCUUAAUCUUCCUUGUGAGAAGCAAAGUAGCCUUUUUGAGAUAUAGUCAUCUUUCAGUAAGUUCAUCAUUCCAGAGUCAUUUUCACACCAUCCUCAAUUACACAAAUGAAAUACCUCUGCUGAGAGUAACAAUACUGAACUUUGUCUGUAAAUCCAGUGAGGAUUCCAUCUAUCCCUAUAUAUUCUGUGUACAUUCGGUUGAUCCUUUGUAUCUUUCAAGUGAUCUAAUCAUCACUUAACAUUUUUUCUUUGGUGAGUCUGGCACUAUUUUUUGUAGCUGAAGAAAUGAGAUCCAAUUUGUUCUUCUGAUAUUACAGCUAAAAUGUAAGCUGGUAAAGAGACAACUUUUCUACCUUCUGCUCCACCUGAAUCCUUUUUAGCCAUUUUGAGAACAAUAGCCCAACGCAUUCAGCACUUCCAAGUAGAUCAUCUGCUCAAACAAACUGCCCCAAAUGCACAUCCAUCCCAUUGGAGUGGGCUAGCAUGUCUUACCUCUCCCUCCCUGGCUCCCUGGGCCCAGACAAAGUGGCAUCUCUGCAAACAAAGACUUUCAAUAGCUGUCCUGCCCUCUGCCCUCUCCCAAACAAUGCAAAGUUACAGAAUAUUGUCCACAGCUGAGUAAAAAGCCCUAAAUAUAGAACCUCUGAUGUAUUCUUGGUUUCCUGCCUGUCGGGCGUCCAUCUCCCCCCCACUUUGCUAUUGGCUAUACUGUCACUAAUCUCACACACUCACAACUAACACAAAGGGAGUGAGAUCACCAAGACCACCUCCUCUCCACCUUAGAGACAUAGGGGAUUUCCAAAGUUUUGCCCUUGCUUUUAAGCCAGAAUUGGAGUGGGAAUAAAUGUCACCGGGCACAAGUACUGCAUGCAAGGCAAGCUCUCUCUCAAACAGGGAGCCUUUCACUCCUCUUCCUCUGCACCCGUGUUUAAUUCUGGACCACCCACAUAGUCCUGCCACGUGGCCUUUAAGGUCUGUGCUGGAUCUCUGCUCCAUUCUGUCAAGCCACGUUUGCUUUUUUUCCCCCUUCCUGUUAUUGUACUCAAGUUGACAUUGACAAAUCUGUCAUACCAAUUUGAACUUUCCUCUACUACAGUGGGGCAUGCAGGUAAUAAUAUCAAGGAAUAAUCAUUUCACCCAUAGCUCUAAUCCCUAAGGCUACUAUAUACAGGCAAAAGUAAACUCGGUAUCGGGAUCACACGUCACACUAAGCCAGAAAGUGUUUUGUUUAGUUUUGAGGUAGUAUAGAUGAGUCCAACCAUUGACUUGAUGCUCAGCAUGUGCCAACUGUCAUUCGUUCAACAAAUUGUUAUUUUGGAAAAAAAAAUGACAUUGUUUAAAGUGAAAAUUCAGUUUAUGAGUAUAAUUUCUUAUUUACUUGGCAAUAGGCUGAGAGUGCCCCAAAGACGUCUCUGUAGAGAGAUUAGAAAAUAACCUGCUAAUGGAUAUCUCUAGUUUGAAACAGCAGAAAAUAUUCCCUAAAGACGGUCUGAAAAAUUCAUCAUAUGUUGAAAAACCCAAAUAGAAGGAAUUCAGUUUUUGUUGUUUCUCUGCCUCUGUUUUUGUUAGGUGAUUUUAUUUGAACAAAAGCACAAGUGAAAAAUCAGACCACACCUUUAUAAUUACCGUAAUUACAACAAAGGUUGUUACAAAGAUGGAUUUAGCCCUACACAAUUUAUUAUUUGCUGGGUUGACUCAGGACUUCAGAGAUGAGCAUUCUACUUCAUUGGGAAGUCAGUUUCCCAAAGAUGUUUGGGAAAGAUGGCUUUCAUUUAAAUCGGACACACCCCUUUUGUAAAACUGAGAAUAAUUACUUAAAAGAGCGGUGGGCCUACCUACAAAUAUCCAACAGGAGGUCCACAUGGCAUCUUUCUAAUUACUCUCUCUUUAAUGAAGCUGUGUCUGUUCCCUGUCCAUCGCCUUUUCCCCGAUGCUGGUUUCGGAAGAAAAUUCUCAUUACAAUAUUUCCCACAUGCAAGGCUGCAUGUUUACAGAAUUGGCAUAGGAUUGAUCCAAGAUUGUUAGAUUCUGCAUUUCAGGGCUGAAGGGAGUUCUGCUAAGGUUUAAGGUUGGCUAUGGAACCUACAGUGGUUGCCGCUGAAUAAAGAAAACAGCAUUAUGACAUAAGAAGACAAUCUCCGCCCCUUUGAGGUAUGCAUGCAACAUUGCAGUGCAGGUAAAAAAAAGGGCACAGCCUGCAUGUGAUGAUGCUGCAAUGCUCCCGAUAUCAGGCUGCCGGCCUUGUCUCUUCUCUUGCCACAGAUGCUGCUGUGUCUAUGUAAAUUUAAUUGAGACGGUUGAGAGAAAUGCUGCUUUAAUGGAAGAGGGGGACUUUAGGGAUAUGUCUAUCUCUCUCUAUAUAUAUCUACAUACUAAUGAACUUCUGAAAUAUGUACAUUCGCACACACAUGCACACACAGAGUAUGUAUAUGCAUCAUACAUACAGUAAUAUAUAUGUGUGUGUAUGUAUAUGUAUGUAUGUAUAUGUGUAUAUACAUAUAUUCUGAGUUCAUAGGUUCUGUGUAUGCAGUGGGAUGCAGACUUGUGCAUAUUACAUGGGUAAUUGCAUAGGUAAUUCUGUGCUCUUGGUGGCUGAACAUGACCCCCACUGAUAAUUAUAUUGCCAAGUCAGUAAAUUAUUCAGAGCGUCGUAUGUACCAUUGAGCGUGACUGCAUCCAUGAUGCAGAUCACUUUCUAUGGAUCAAGGGUAAUAAUGCAUGAGAAUGCUGGAAUUGAGGUAUCAGUAUGUGAACCAAGUGCUAGAACAUUAGAGCUAUUUGCAAUUUUGUCCAUAUUGCUUGUGGAAUUCAUUUACAGAUCAUUGAAAGAUGACUCUUUACAUAUCUAAAAUAAUCAUCCAAGCCAUGGCUACAAAGUAAACAUGUUUCAAAGCACUGUUGUUCAUGGGAGUGUUAAAUCAAUACUUCAUUGACAAAUGUACCACCAAUAUUUUGCAGUUACAGAGGAAAAGACUUUGAUGGAAAGGACUUAGUCUGUAGUACUCCCCAUCUUCUUUAUCGUGACAGUUUUUCUGGUGACGAAAAAUGGAUAGAAAAUUUGUAUGGCUGGAGGCAGGGGUGAAAUCCAGCAGGUUCUAACAGGUUCUGGAGAACCGGUAGAGGAAAUUUUGAGUAGUUUGGAGAACCGGCAAAUACUACCUCUGGCUGGCCCCAGAGUGGGAUGGGAAUGGAGAUUUUGCAAUACCCUUCCCCUGCCAAGCCCACCACGCCCACAGAACCAGUAGGGAAAAUUUUUUUAUUUCACCCCUGGCUGGAGGGUAUUACUUUAAAAGGGGUGCUUUGGAAAGCAUGUGAGUGAAGCACGCCUCCUUGAAGCAUACUGUACAUGCAUAGACAGUAGUCCUGGAACCGGCUAAGACACUGAGAUUGUUGAUCAGAAAGGUUGGCAGUUCAGCGGUUCAAAUCCCUAGUACAGGUCUCAUGUGUGAGCAGGGGGUUGGACUAGAUGACCUCCAAGGUCCCUUCCAACUCAUUGUUACUGUUACAGUAAUGAAACAAAGUGCCUAUAUGUGCAAUAAAUAGGGAAACCUUUGAAAUAGUAGCUCUGGGUUUUCCAGAAGAUAAGGCUGCUUUAAUGUUUGAAGGUAGGGGGGCGGGAUGCUUUGCUCAUGCUACCAUUGCAGCAUCCCAUGGUCAUGUGAUCAGACUUCCAGGGCUUGACAACUGAUAUGUAUUGACAACAGUUACAGCAUCCAAGGGUCAUGCGAUCACCAUCUGCAACCUUCCCAGCCGUUUUCUGAUCAGCAAAACCAAAAGGGGGGAAACCAAAUUUGCUUAACGGCCGAUAUUGAUUUGGAUAACAACCAUGGCAAAAAAAUAUAUGGUUGUAAAAUCAGGCAUAUAACUCACUUAACAAAGUUUGCUUUGUUGGAAAUUCUGAUCCCAUUGUGGUCAAAAAAGGAAGACGACCUGUAAAGCAAAUCAUUUACUAAAAUAACUGAGUAAUUCAUAGCCCCGGGAUUGCAUUAGGCCAGGGGUCUCCAACCUUGGCAACUUUAAGCCUGUUGGACUUCAACUCCCAGAAUUCCCCAGCCAGCUUUGCUGGGAGUUGAAGCCCAACAGGCUUAAAGUUGCCAAGGUUGGAGACCCCUGCAUUAGGCUCCUGAGUCACCCAAAUUGCAGUUCCAUUUUUAGCCAUAAGUGGGAACAGAUAAAAACUCUGAUGUAUUGCCCUAACAAAAACAAGAAACAAAAGGCCCUUUCCAUAUGCAUUCCUACAUAAUAGUUUUUCCAGAUUCACUCUCACCCAUAUGUGUGAUAGCCCCCACUACUCUUCAUUAAUGUAGAAUGUGGUCCUUGACUCCCCAAUUGUUGUCCAUUCUUUUCUUGACAAGUCUACUUCUCACUGGUGAAAACAAGUUUCUAAUUACACCGACUCUUUAAUUAAAAAACAAAACAAAACAAAACCACAGGUUAAAGAAAUUAAAGAAGUUGCCAUAUUUUACAUAUGCAUCACCCACUCAGCUCCAAAUGCCAAUGGGUAAUGCACUUUCUUUUACAGAUUCGAACAUUUGGAAUUUUUCAGAAUGUUUCAUCAAGGACUUUAUAAAGAGGAGUGCAUGAGUUCUGUUAAAUACAAAAGACUGAUUACCACUUUAAAAAAAAAACAAAAAAACCUUCUUGUUUUGGCAACUGUAGCCAGGACCAGCCUAUUCCACUCUUUCCCCACUCCCCAUUCUGUGUUCAUGCAAGGAACAGGUGAAACAUGCUAUGCACAGUCUGUUUUUUUGUUUUUGAACUGUAAAAGCUUAACAUUUUCCUCUCUCUCUCUCUCUCUCUUUUUUUUUUUUUGCCAAGAAUGGAAAAGGGAGGGGGCAUUCCUUUGGAAUGUGGCUUCUGUCUCCCAUGGUAGUUCAUUAUCCAUUCAGCAGAAGCAUGGAGGUGGGGGAAGCACCAGAUCUGUACUAUCCAAGAAGCGGGGGAAGAAGAAACAGCAGCUACAAUCUGAAUCACAGAUGGAAAAUAAAUAACAAAACUGAGGAGCAGAAAAGGGAGGAAAUGAUUUCCUCUACGUUAGGGGAAGCUUUUCAAACAGACAGAAAAGGAGGAUCAGGCAAGCAGUGAUGGAGAAUGAUGAUAUACUGUAAUGAGGGAUCAGUGGUGGAGAAUGAAAACUACCGCUUGGAGAGAAAUUCUUUCAAACUUGGACGGAGUCCUGGAGGAGAUUUGAUGCACCUGGAGGUUGCCCUUCGAGCUCCAGUAAACAGACUGUUUCCCUCCCUAGAUAAGAUCCAAGUCAAUUAGGUGUCUGCUGAUUUGAGAUUCUCUCAAAUCCACAUUGAAUUUGUGGACAAUGGCUGAACCUUUAUUCCAAUGUAAUUUAGAAAGAAGGGAGUUCAUGUGAUGCAUGUUUUCCUAGGAGGUAAACAAUAAGUGUUGCUUCACCUUCCAGACCCUUACCUGUAAAAGACAUACAAAGGGUGCCACAUCCACCGAGCUGCAAAUCCAAGCAUUGUUUUUAUUCAAAGAUAUGAAUUAUUCUGCAAAUAUGCCAAGGAAGAAAAUCUGCAAACUCAUUGCAGCUGCACACUGAACAUCCCAGUUUAAAGUGAAAUAAGUAAAACUAAGAAUUUUUCACUUAUUAUACUGAUUGUAGAAUUUGCAUUCUCCUUGUGUGUCUACAAAACAGGAGCCACUUUUCUCUGCCUCCUUUUCCAUGUUGUUUGUUGCUUGUCAAUCAAAUGUUUCAUGUAAAGGCCAUGUUCACUUGUUCAGCAGCCAGAACAAAGAAGAAACACAGCUAGUACGAUGCAUUUGAAUUAAUUAUUAUUGAGUUAUAUUUCUCUGCCUUUUACAAGAUGCUGGGUUCCCCCUACUAAAAUCCAUGCUACGAAUUGUUUGUUUUUAAAAUUACAAACAAUAAAUGAGUAGCUGUUAAGAUCCUGGAGGAAAAUUAUAUUUACAUUUUAAUCAGCUUCUUUGAGUCACUUUCCGUUCCCAUCAUUCAUUAGCAGGCAUAGGUGCCAAAAUGACUCUAAUGCCUUAUCUAUCAGUGAAAUAGCUUCUUUAUAUUGUGGGACACCUGAGAUUUAUUUAUGGUAUGAUGGGUGCUUAAAUCUAUUAUCACAAAAAACUCCAACAUAAUAUAUCAAGUUUCUGAACUCA